rnacentral:rRNA from 1 species
AGUGAACGCUGGCGGUAGGCCUAACACAUGCAAGUCGAAUGGCAGCACAGUAAGAGCUUGCUCUUACGGGUGGCGAGUGGCGGACGGGUGAGGAAUACAUCGGAAUCUACUUUUUCGUGGGGGAUAACGUAGGGAAACUUACGCUAAUACCGCAUACGACCUACGGGUGAAAGCAGGGGAUCUUCGGACCUUGCGCGAUUGAAUGAGCCGAUGUCGGAUUAGCUAGUUGGCGGGGUAAAGGCCCACCAAGGCGACGAUCCGUAGCUGGUCUGAGAGGAUGAUCAGCCACACUGGAACUGAGACACGGUCCAGACUCCUACGGGAGGCAGCAGUGGGGAAUAUUGGACAAUGGGCGCAAGCCUGAUCCAGCCAUACCGCGUGGGUGAAGAAGGCCUUCGGGUUGUAAAGCCCUUUUGUUGGGAAAGGAAAGCAGCAGGUUAAUACCCCGCUGUUCUGACGGUACCCAAAGAAUAAGCACCGGCUAACUUCGUG